CCUACGGGAGGCAGCAGUAGGGAAUUUUCGGCAAUGGGGGGAACCCUGACCGAGCAACGCCGCGUGAACGAAGGAGUUAUUCGUAAUGUAAAGUUCUUUUAACCGGGAAGAAAGAGAAAUUUGACUGUACCUGAAGAAUAAGCUCCGGCUAACUACGUGCCAGCAGCCGCGGUAAUACGUAGGGAGCGAGCGUGAUCCGUAAUUAUUGGGCGAAAAGGGUGCUUAGAUGGCAUAGUAAGUCUUUUGAAAAAAUGCUGGGCUCAACCCAGUAGGGCAAAAGAUACUGCAAAGCUAGAGUAUGACAGAGGCAAGUGGAACUACAUGUGUAGCGGUAAAAUGCGUAAAUAUAUGUAAGAACACCAGUGGCGAAGGCGGCUUGCUGGGUCGAUACUGACAUUGAGGCACGAAAGCGUGGGGAGCAAACAGGAUUAGAUACCCUGGUAGUC
rnacentral:rRNA from 1 species